rnacentral:rRNA from 1 species
CCUACGGGAGGCAGCAGUGAGGAAUAUUGGUCAAUGGGCGCGAGCCUGAACCAGCCAAGUCGCGUGAGGGAAGACGGUCCUAUGGAUUGUAAACCUCUUUUGUCGGGGAGCAAAAGACGCCACGCGUGGCGUUCCGAGAGUACCCGAAGAAAAAGCAUCGGCUAACACCGUGCCAGCAGCCGCGGUAAUACGGAGGAUGCGAGCGUUAUCCGGAUUUAUUGGGUUUAAAGGGUGCGCAGGCGGAAGAUCAAGUCAGCGGUAAAAUUGAGGGGCUCAACCUCUUCGAGCCGUUGAAACUGGUGUUCUUGAGUGAGUGAGAAGUAUGGGGAAUGCGUGGUGUAGCGGUGAAAUGCAUAGAUAUCACGCAGAACUCCGAUUGCGAAGGCAGCAUACCGGCGCUCAACUGACGCUCAUGCACGAAAGUGUGGGUAUCGAACAGGAUUAGAUACCCCGGUAGUC